rnacentral:misc_RNA from 1 species
AAAGAAACAAGAAAUUAGUGAUGAAAUUGAUCCUUUCCCUCGUAGAGCAAUAGAAUUUGAUCCACCAAAUGGAUCCUAUUAAAUUAUCCAUAAUCCUACCCAUGUUGCUCAGCCUUUCCAUUACUGCCCAAGCACAACCCCAGUAUAACCGGCGUAUUUGCUCAAACACAACCACUUUCCCUAAAAACAGCGCCUACCAAGCCAAUCUAAAUACCCUCCUCUUUUUUCUAUCCUCCAACGCAACCCGCAGUAUUGGGUUUCACAUCACCUCCGCCGGGCAGAACCCCAACACUGUCUACGGCUUAUUUCUCUGCCGCGGUGAUUAUAGCCCCGAUGUUUGCAAGGAUUGUGUCUCCUUCGCCACGCAGUUGGACCUUGUCCGACGUUGCCCCGUUGAGAAAGAGGCCUUAAUAUGGUACGAUCAGUGUCUUGUGCGUUACUCAAACAGGUCAUUCUUUUCCACCGUGGACCUAAAACCUACGGUAUGUAUGUGGAAUGUGAAUAAUAUCACUGACGUAGGUCUUUUUAAAAAUCUGUUGAAUACCACCAUGAGAGAUGUGGCUGCUGAGGCUGCAAGUGCUUCAUCAGGAACCAAGAAGUUUGCUGUUAAAGUAGUAGAUUUUACGGGGACCCAGAAGCUGUACAACCUCGUGCAGUGCAUUCCGGAUCUAUCCAAGUCUGAUUGCAACACGUGUCUUCAGAUAGCCAUUCAAGAUUGCCGAAUUGUAGUGAAGGAAGGCGAGGAGGAAGAGUCUUGCUUCCGAGUUGCAGUGUUCGUUAUGAAACGUACUUAUUUUAUAAUGCUACUGCAACUAGGGCGUCACCACCGUCGCCUAUGGUUCUUCCUCCUGCACCUGCUGGUUUAGGAACAAGAACACCAGGUAAAGUUAAUUUGUACUGUUUAGGCCUUUAUGGUUAGUAAAAGCUCAUCUUCAAGCGGCCGGUCAAUGGGAAGUGUUGGAUGUUUUCAUUUAUUUCUUUUCAUUAAAGUUCAUUCAAGAAUAACAAAAGAUGAGGAGGCAGAAGUGGUCAAGGUACAGUUUAGAAUUGAAAUUGAAAUGGUUUAAUUUGGAAUUGAAACUGAUCAAUUUUGAAUUGAUCAAAACCAAACUUUAAAUCAGAUCAAAACCUGUCAGUUCAGUCUAAUUUUACCUCAAAAUAUAAAUUUUCAUUGUAGAAAAAGAAAAUUAAAAAAACAAUUGACCAUUAAAUUUAAUCAAAAUCAAAUAAAAUCCAAUUGAGACCGGAACCGGUAACAGGGAGACUCUUAUAUCAGGACCGGUUCCAGCCUGGAACUGCGCCAUGGCCGACCGAAAGAGGAGGAAGUGAAAUGAAAGGAAUAAUAUGUGGAAAGUGGAACGCAUAAAUAUUUACUUAUAAGUGAGAAACUGGGAUUGAAAAAAAAAAAAAUAGAUGUAUGACGUGGAAGUCGAUAUAUGCAGUAAAAAGCGGCAUCUCAACUGUUACAAAAGGAGCCAUUGUUGCUGCAAUUUCUGUCUUUAUUGUGCUUUUUGGCAUGGGUUACUGUUUCCUAAGGAGGCAGGCAAGAAAGAAGUACCACACUAUACCGGAAGAUAAUGGUAAAAUUUUUUCUAAUUUCUUGUGCUAAUUAUGGAAUCGCAUUGGUAUGCUAUAUAUAUAUAUAUAUAGUUCAUGGAUUUAAGAUAAAUAAACAUGUGAGACUUAUAAAUUUAAUAGAUGAGCCUUGUCAUAUAUUUUAUAUUUUAAAUCUAUUAUGAAUUGGGUGUAGAUUAGAAAAAUCAUAUAUAAAUUAUUAAACAGCCUAAUAAAAUAUCUGUUUGGCAUUUAUUUAGGUGGAAAUGAAAUUUCUUCCUUGCAAUUUGAUCUGAGUACAAUAGAAACUGCUACAAAGAACUUCUCUGAUGAUAACAAGUUAGGCCAAGGCGGAUUUGGUCAGGUUUACAAGGGCACACUUCCUAAUUGGCAAGAAAUAGCUGUGAAGAGAC